rnacentral:rRNA from 1 species
GAUGAACGCUGGCGGCGUGCCUAACACAUGCAAGUCGAACGAGAAGCUAACUUCUGAUUCCUCGGGGAGAUGAAGUUGGUAGAAAGUGGCGAACGGGUGAGUAACGCGUGGGUAAUCUACCCUGUUAGUGGGGGAUAACCCUCCGAAAGGAGGGCUAAUACCGCAUAAGGUCUUCACUUCUCAAGAAGUAAAGAUUAAAGAUGGCCUCUAUACUAUGCUAUCGCUUCAGGAUGAGCCCGCGUCCUAUUAGUUAGUUGGUGGGGUAAUGGCCUACCAAGACCACAAUGGGUAGCCGGUCUGAGAGGAUGUACGGCCACACUGGGACUGAGAUACGGCCCAGACUCCUACGGGAGGCAGCAGUGGGGAAUAUUGCGCAAUGGGGGAAACCCUGACGCAGCGACGCCGCGUGGAUGAUGAAGGCCUUUGGGUUGUAAAAUCCUGUUCUGGAGGAAGAAACCUUAAGGGUCCAAUAAACCCUUAAGCUGACGGUACCC